rnacentral:lncRNA from 1 species
UGUGGAUCUGCGAGUGCAGAUGGCGGGGACUGGUCAGCAAAAUGGCUUUUGGGUGAUGCAAAGGAACAGGGACAGGGAAGCCUGCUGCCAUGGAUGGCAGUCCUGGACUUUCCUUUUGCACCAAUUCCUGUGGCCAGACCCCUGGGCCUGGUUGCCUUUAGCAAAGGUGAUCUAGGAAGCGCGAUGCUGCCUGGGAGCACUAUAACAGCCAUGGGUUCGCCUUUUGGAGCACUCUCGCAUGCCCACUUCAAGAACCACAUCGCCGCUGGCAUCGUUGCAAAUGCAGUGUA